rnacentral:rRNA from 1 species
CCAGACAGAUAGCGAACAAGUACUUCCCAGACCGAUAGCGAACAAGUAGAGUGAUCGAAAGAUGAAAAGCACUUUGAAAAGAGAGUUAAACAGCACGUGAAAUUGUUGAAAGGGAAGCGCUUGCGACCAGUCUCGCCCGCGGGGUUCAGCGGGCAUUCGUGCCGGUGUACUUCCCCGUGGGCGGGCCAGAGUCGGUUUGGGGGGCCGGUCAAAGGCCCCUGGAAGGUAGUACCCUCCGGGGUACCUUAUAGCCAGGGGUGCAAUGCCACCAGCCUGGACCUAGGAACGCGUUU